UACGCCUACGGGGGGCAGCAGUAGGGAAUCUUCCACAAUGGGCGAAAGCCUGAUGGAGCAACGCCGCGUGGGUGAAGAAGGUCUUCGGAUCGUAAAACCCUGUUGUUAGAGAAGAAAGUGCGUGAGAGUAACUGUUCACGUUUCGACGGUAUCUAACCAGAAAGCCACGGCUAACUACGUGCCAGCAGCCGCGGUAAUACGUAGGUGGCAAGCGUUAUCCGGAUUUAUUGGGCGUAAAGGGAAUGCAGGCGGUCUUUUAAGUCAGCUGUGAAAGUCCGCGGCUCAACCGUGGAAUUGCAGUUGAA
rnacentral:rRNA from 1 species